rnacentral:rRNA from 1 species
GACGAACGCUGGCGGCGUGCUUAACACAUGCAAGUCGAACGAGGCCCCUCCUUCGGGAGGGUGUCCUAGUGGCGAACGGGUGAGUAACACGUGGGCAACCUGCCCUCAGCUCUGGGAUAACCCCAAGAAAUUGGGGCUAAUACCGGAUACGACCGCUGACCGCCUGGUCGGUGGUGGAAAGUUUUUCGGCUGGGGAUGGGCCCGCGGCCUAGCAGCUUGUUGGUGGGGUAGUGGCCUACCAAGGCGACGACGGGUAGCCGGCCUGAGAGGGUGACCGGCCACACUGGGACUGAGACACGGCCCAGACUCCUACGGGAGGCAGCAGUGGGGAAUAUUGCGCAAUGGGCGGAAGCCUGACGCGGCAACGCCGCGUGCGGGAUGACGGCCUUCGGGUUGUAAACCGCUUUUAGUAAGGAAGAAGGGGAGCUUGCUCCUUGACGGUACUUGCAGAAAAAGGACCGGCUAACUACGUGCCAGCCGCCGCAGUAACAC